rnacentral:lncRNA from 1 species
AUGUGAUCUAUAUGUAAAAGCUAUAUGUAUAUUUUCUAGUUAAUCAUUUCACAUUUGUGCUGAAAUUUGAUAAAAAAAAAUUUUAACUGCAAUUAACAACACAUAAAGUUACAAAAAAAGAUUAACAACACAUAAACUUAGAAAAUCCAAAUAUCUGGACUAUGAUAAAUCAAUAAAAUAGUCUGUGUUAUUGUUAUCCAUGCGUCAUCAUCCAAAUUCGAACAUUCAUACAUAUUACUGCCAAAAUAAUUAGGAAAUAAAUACUAUUUCAAUAAGAAAGUGGUUUUUAUCUUAAAAGAGGGUUUUAAAAAACCACAUGCAAAGCAAAUAAAAGCAGAGAGAUCCAACAUGUAGACUAAUCAUAUUGAAGAGAUAAAAAUUAUAAUUACAAUAAGAAAGUGGUUUCUUUGGUUUGUUUCAUUUUCAUAUAAUUUUGAGCUUAAUAUCCACACACACCAGACAGGAAUAAUGAAAAAGGAAAUGAGUGAUUAGAUCCUAACAUUUUCAUCACCACAACUAUUGGAAGAUAAAUCUACAAUAACCUUUUCAAAGCUUGCGUGUUCUUGAGCCCUCUAGUUCACUUUCAGUUUGAGUAUUAAACAUUGAUAAGCUUAGAAAAUAAUGCAAUCGUAUAUUUGUACAUAUAUGAUAUGUUAAUCGUGGACUCACUCUAAGACCACUUGACCGGAUCAAACUAUGCCUGAUCAAAUUCAAACCACUAAUGUCCUACCAAUUCUACUAUGAACUAAGCGUUUUUGCCAAAUAUUGAUAAACCAAAAUCAAAACGAAAAUAUAGUUGAUUCUCAAAUCCCAGAGAGGGCACAUAAGCAUAUAUAUAAAGGGCCACAUAAGCAUAUAUAAAGGGCACAUAAGCAUAUAUAAGCUUCUGCCAGUUGACAAAAAAAAAAAAAAAAGCUUCUGCCAAAAAUAAAAUAAAAUAAUAUAACAUAAAAUAAAAUAAAAGAGGAACCUUAAAGAACCUUCAUAAACAACCAAAAGCUUCAUUAUCUACACCUGUUCAUAUUAUCAUUAUAGUCCAUAUAAUCUUCCCAAAU